rnacentral:rRNA from 1 species
GACAGGUGGUGCAUGGUUGUCGUCAGCUCGUGUCGUGAGAUGUUGGGUUAAGUCCCGCAACGAGCGCAACCCUUAAGCUUAGUUGCCAUCAUUAAGUUGGGCACUCUAAGUUGACUGCCGGUGACAAACCGGAGGAAGGUGGGGAUGACGUCAAAUCAUCAUGCCCCUUAUGAUUUGGGCUACACACGUGCUACAAUGGACAAUACAAAGGGCAGCGAAACCGCGAGGUCAAGCAAAUCCCAUAAAGUUGUUCUCAGUUCGGAUUGUAGUCUGCAACUCGACUACAUGAAGCUGGAAUCGCUAGUAAUCGUAGAUCAGCAUGCUACGGUGAAUACGUUCCCGGGUCUUGUACACACCGCCCGUCACACCACGAGAGUUUGUAACACCCGAAGCCGGUGGAGUAACCUUUUAGGAGCUAGCCGUCGAAGGUGGGACAAAUGAUUGGGGUGAAGUCGUAACAAGGUAGCCGUAUCGGAAGGUGCGGCUGGAUCAC